CCCUUAGAUGUUCCGGGCCGCACGCGCGCUACACUGAUGCAUUCAACGAGUCUAAAACCUGCUCUGAUAGGGGUGGGUAAUCUUUUGAAUGUGCAUCGUGAUUGGGAUAGAUGAUUGCAAUUUUUCAUCUUCAACGAGGAAUGCCUAGUAAACGCAAGUCAUCAGCUUGCAUUGAUUACGUCCCUGCCCUUUGUACACACCGCCCGUCGCUCCUACCGAUUGAAUGAUCCGAUGAAUAUCAUGGAUUGAGGAUGCAAGCAGGUUCGCCUGUCUUCAUCUUCGAGAAGUGAAGUAAAUCUUAUCAUUUAGAGGAAGGAGAAGUCGUAACA
rnacentral:rRNA from 1 species